GUGACGUCAGGCCACGGGUCGCGGGACUAACGCCGGGCCUCGAAGAGGCCCCGCCCCGCCGACCGCGCGGAAACGUCGCGAGAACCUCCUUCCUCCCGGAACUUGCUGAGCCGACCCGAAGUCCCUCAGGGGCGGAGGUGUGGUCGAGGGGCGUGGUUUUGCUUCCGUUCCGUUAACGUGACGGCCGAAGCCGACGCCUCCGGGGUUGCGCGAGUGAGAGCACCCGGGCCUGGAAGAGGCGGGGAGGUGGGGACCAGGGGCAGUCCUGCGGGACGGAGGCGCGGCCCCGCGGGGUCGCGGGUGCUGAGGGGCCGCAGCCCGGGCGGUCCGUCCCGCCUCUCCCCACGCAGACGUGCCUGAGACCCUCGAGGGGACGGGCUGGGGUCGCCGGGGGCCUGCGGGCCCGCCGCCAAGCGGGAGGCUGUCGGUCUAGGGGAGCCUGCCUCGUUGGGCCCGCCCUCACGCCUUGCCCCACUUUCCGCCCCGCCCGGGGGCCAGGCCCCGCCCCUUGAGCUGGAGCCCCGCCCCCACGCGAGCCUGGUGUCUGCGGCUGGGCUUGCUGGAAUUGUCGUCCUUCCCGCGGGCUGUUGGGUCGGCGGAUCUUUGCAGCUGCAGGCUGCUCGCGGUUCGCCCGCGCCGGCUGUUUGCCGUUUCCCGGCGCGGUUCUCAGCAUUCUGCUCCCGCGUCUGGGAGGGGCGCUGGAAGAGACGUGCAGCGUCUAGAAGGGCCGCUGGGCCGAGCUCAGGAGCAGGGACCCUCCGCGGUCACCCAGCCGCUCGCGAUCCCCGCGGCCGGCCGCUCUCGGGUGCUGACGGCGAGAGGGCCCGGGGACAGUCUGGCGCCAGGAUGGUCACCACCACCACCUGCACCCGGUUCACGGACGAGAACCAGCUCUUUGAGGAGCUCGGGAAGGGAGCUUUUUCGGUGGUGAGAAGAUGUAUGAAAACACUACUGGUCAAGAAUAUGCUGCUGAAACCAUCAACACCAGGAAGCUUUCUGCCAGGGGUAGGUGUUUUCAACUGAGUGAGAUGUUGGUUUUGUAUUUCUCCUGCCCACUGUCGGUUCUCCUGUAAGUACAUCAGGAAGUUAUAACUGAAUGAUAGACUUGGGUAGUGUGUUACGUGUGGAGAUUGGUUCCAUCUGAAUGCCUCUUGGUCUGCACAGUUUCAAAAUAAAUGAACAAAUAUAAUUUAACAAAUUGUUAUAAAAUUUCUGUUGUAUGAGCAAUAGCAUAAGUAACUAUCAUUAUAAAGCAAAUAAAUGUCACCAAGUACCUUUUGCCUUUAGCUCUACUCUGAAAUAACUUCCAGAAAAAUGCUGGAAAGGGAAGUGUGAGUCUCAUAACUGUCAUUCCUUUUGCUUUUGAGAGGGAAAAUAGGUCAGAGCUGGGUGAAUCAUGUAUUUCGGUUGUAGUUACACUUGAACCUGAUGCACCAAGGUGCAUGUAACACUGAUGGCUCUGGGAGGCGAGCCUGACUGCUGUAUUCUAGGAAGCUCAGCUGAUGUCGAUGUUUCCGCGUGCAGUUCAGACCUUCUUCACUUGGCCUGCCGCGCGGAGAUUGCUCACAGACCUGGAAUGUAUUUUGCACAUGCUUCGUAGCCUCAGAGAUAAUUCAUGCUCGUGCAACAGCUGUUGACAUGAGCAAAAACUUGGAGGGCCCUCACUGCACUCUUGUUACUUCUUUCAACUCAUGCAAAAAUACUUCUGCUGAAAUGUCAGGCAUCCCAGUUAUUGUGAGCAUGUGUCGAAGGUAUUUCCUUGGGAAUUUGUGAUUUAAUGGGAAAAAAAAGAAGAGAUAAAAAGGAACGAAAUGCCAUAACGUA